GCACUCGUAGCUCAGUAGGAUAGAGCAACCGCCUCCUAAGCGGUAGGUCGAAGGUUCGACUCCUUUCGAGUGCGCCA
rnacentral:tRNA from 2 species